rnacentral:rRNA from 1 species
ACUCAAAUGAAUAGACGGGGACCCGCACAAGCAGUGGAGUAUGUGGUUUAAUUCGAAGCAACGCGAAGAACCUUACCAGGUCUUGACAUCCCUUUGAAUGUUCUAGAGAUAGGGCAGGCCUUCGGGACAAAGGAGACAGGUGGUGCAUGGUUGUCGUCAGCUCGUGUCGUGAGAUGUUGGGUUAAGUCCCGCAACGAGCGCAACCCUUGAAUCUAGUUGCCAGCACGAAAGGUGGGCCCUCUAGAUUGACUGCCGGUGACAAACCGGAGGAAGGCGGGGAUGACGUCAAAUCAUCAUGCCCCUUAUGACCUGGGCUACACACGUACUACAAUGGCCGGUACAACGGGGAGCGAAGGAGCGAUCCGGAGCAAAUCCUAAAAAGCCGGUCUCAGUUCGGAUUGCAGGCUGCAACUCGCCUGCAUGAAGUCGGAAUUGCUAGUAAUCGCGGAUCAGCAUGCCGCGGUGAAUACGUUCCCGGGUCUUGUACACACCGCCCGU